GACAGAGGUGCCAAGCGUUAGGCGGAAUCACUGGGCUUAAAGCGUGUGUAGGCGGACUUGUAAGUACCUUGUGAAAUCCCAUGGCUCAACCAUGGAACUGCUCGGUAUACUGCGAAUCUUGAGCCACUUAGGGGCUACCGGAACAAAUGGUGGAGCGGUGAAAUGCGUAGAUAUCAUUUGGAACGCCAAUGGUGAAAACAGGUAGCUGGGAGUGAUGCUGACACUGAGACACGAAAGCCAGGGGAGCGAACGGG
rnacentral:rRNA from 1 species